GAGAGAGGGAGAGAGAGAAGGGGGGGGAGGGGCAGAGAGAGACAGACACACAGAAUCCGAAUCAGGCUCCAGGCUCUGAGCUGUCAGCACAGAGAUCGACACAGCGCUUGAACCCACCAACUGUGAGAUUGUGACCUGAGUCGAAGUCAGACGCUUAACUGACUGAGCCACCCAGGCACCCCAAUAUAAAGUUUUUUGAUAGGUAAUUUGCUUAUUAGUUCCUAAUUACUAUACCAGUUUAAUUUUUUCGAAUAAGAAACAAAAGUUAGAGGGACCAGAAGGUUCAAACCUAGUGACUGGCAUAUUGUAUUUAUGUGUGUAGACUUUACCUAUCAGGUUCAUACAUAGUCGGGUGGCUUAGUUGGCAUGAACUCAACCAGAGAAGUGAGAUAUUUGCUGGACAGGGACUGAGGCCACCUCGGUCCCACCCUACGUCAGGGAUGGGUGGUUUUUCCCUGUGGCAGAACCUCUUUGUUUGCUUUUAUUUCCCCAGUCUUUUUCUCAUUAAGGCACGUGUUUUUAGACUAGUUAGUAUAUUCAACUUGAAUGCAUUCUUGACUUUAUAGGUCUCAGAAGCCCUUUGUUUUCCUUCAGGUGCCUUUAUCACUGCUAUGAUCCAUUUUGUGUUCAUUUUUUACUCUAAGAAAGCAGUUGGAUGUUUUUGCUUCUGUGUAGCCUCUUUUUACCAAAACAGAUUUAUUAGCUUAUUUAAUUUGGUCAUAUAGUGUGGGGUAGAGUAAGAACAUACUCAUAAGAAAUAAAUUAGGUAGUACAUUCUCUUUGCAUUGUAUCAUGUUAUUAAAAGAGCUUGUUUUUAGCUUACUUUAUCGUUACUUUGGGACUUGUUCCUUCUGCUCUUAAAGUACCAAAUUGGUAUUUUAGGAAGUUAACCUUUCAGGUGUGUGCAAGGUGGGUUGAAGAGACAGAAGGCGCGGAGACCAGUUAGUUCACGUGAACAAUGGGGAAGGCAAACCGAAGCGUCGACAGUGGGUGUGAGGAGGGUGGGGAGGACUUAAAAGAAAUGUAGGUGAUAGGAUCUACAGAACUUGGGGACUAGUUAAAGGAGUAGGUGAUAGGUGAGUACAGUAUGAAUUUUAGGUUUUUGCCUUGGGCACCCGAUGGAUGUUUACUGUCUUUUCCAAGAUAGAGAGUACUAGAAGAGCAGACAGGAAGUGGGAGUGGGGGAGGGAGAAAGAAUGAGUUCCAAUUUAUAAGGAAUUUGAGUUGCCUAUCAGUGAAUCCUCCAAGAAAAGUGUCUAGUGGGAAUAUGAACAUCAGAGAGAGCAGGGAGAGAGAGAAUGGGUUGGGAAUUUUUAUUUUGUUUCAGUGGUAGCUCACUUUACUCAGAGUUCUGUUUCUCAGAGUGUAGAUCUAGAAAUCUACAUUAUCAGUGUAUGGGAAUGUUAACAUAAAGGAAUGGGCUAUAACUCAGUUCAAAUGACCUUGAUACUGAUCAAGAGGUAUUACCACUCUCCUUUUUUUCUGAACCUGAGUAUUCAGAUUUAGAUGCAAAGGAGUUUGCAAAUUAAGUUCCAUGCAUCUGGUGACAAAAAUAAGGGGGAAAUAGCCUAAACGGUGAAGGUUCUGGAUCAAGUGUGACAUGGGAAAUGAAAAUUCGCUCUUCUCUCAGCCUGUCUCAAUUCCUGAAUGCUUCUCAUCUAGCUGUGUGAUGAGUGUGAUUAUGGUUUUUUAAUGACACAAUUUUAACAUCACAGCAUGAGGUCUAAGGACAAGCUAGCUGUUUUGUUGAAGAAAAGGUGAACUAUUCAAGUAGAGUGAAAAUUAGCUGUGUUGGAAUUAUUGAGAUGGUGUAUCAGUCUAGUGGGCAUAUAUUUAAGGGAUUUGUUAGGCAAAUGUUUACUCUAUGUUGUUUUCACCUUAUUCACUAAUUCCCAGGUGAGCUGUAGCUCCAUGAUUUUGGUAAUGAAAACAUGGAGAUUGGAAGAGUUCAUUAUAGCUACAGUGAGUCAGUACUUACCAAAAAGAUUUUUUGAAUACAUUAUAUAUGUCUAUGCUACAAAAUUGAUUGAUAAGGUACAAAAAGGAGUGGACAGUUAAAAAAAAGUCUGCAACUUUUUUCCCUCUGGCUCCAGCUAUUCAACCAUAUUUUUGCAUAGGUUUCAUAUACGUGUGUGUGCUGUACAUAAUUCUUCUGAAUCUUGAAUUUUUUUAAUAUAAAACAUGACACGGUCAUUUUUCAUAUCAGUUCCCGAAGAGCUCUCAAAUUUUUUGAAGAGAUAAUUUAGAAGAUGCAUACUCAUUUAUUGUAGGUGCUAUAAUUUGUGAAACCAGUCUGGACUGAUAUACAUAUAGAUUAUUUCCAGUCUUUUGCUAUUACACCUAAUGCUGUAAAGAAUAAUUUAGUGUGUAUGUCAUUUCAUGUAUGGAGAAGUAGAUCUUCAGGACAGAUUCCUAGGAGUAAGCAUCACUAGAUACACACUUUUAAAAAUCCCAUAGACAUUGCCACAUUGCCCUCCAGUUAUACUGCAACAGUACAUACUCUCACAGGUUUUGCUUGAGAAUAUUCUUUUUUCCUGACACUCUUAAUGGUGUUAUGUGGAUUUCAAGCUGAUUACUUUUUAAACUGUUCUUCUCUUUUUCCCUCCCAUAACUUUUUAUUAUGAAAAAUUUCAUAUAUAUAUGGGGAAAAAAACAAUACAACAAACACCUGUGUAGUCUUAACACCUAGACUCAACAGUUGUUAACAUUUUGCCGUAUUUGGAUCAUUUCUCUGCUCUCUGCCUCAGUCCCCCCCUUUCCUCUCCUUAUCCCCUCUUCCCUCCCCUUGUCUCCCUCUCAUCCUUUCUCCUUCUCUGUCUCUCACCUUCUCCUGUCCUCCCCCAAAAUACGUAUCCUUUGUAGUGGUUAAAAAUUUGACAGUGAGUUGCAAACAUGAUAUUUCAUUCUCUAAACAUUCCAGCACCUGUCUCCUCUAAGAGUAAGAAUAGUCUCUUUCUCUAAAACCACAUAAGCACACAGCCACGUACAAGGUAUAUAUCUAUCUCUCUCUCUAUAAUCUAUAUACAUAUGUAACCACACAUUAUAAUAGUCAUAUAUUUCAUACAUUUAUAAAACCACAAUACUAUUUUUAUGUCUAAGAAAAUGAAAAUAACUCCAUAAUGUAAUAUCAAAUAUUUAGUUAGGUUUUCCUAAUUGUCCCAAGAAUGUCUUUUCUGGCAUGCCCCCCCCCCCCUUUGUUUUAAUGCCAAGACACCCUUUGUAUUUGAUUGUUCUAUCUCUUUAAUUUCUUUUCAUUUAGAACAUUCCCUCUACCUUUUCCCCUCCUCUCCCGGCAUUGUUUUUGAAGAGUUCAGCUCAGUUGUCCUGUAGGAUGUGCAACAUUCUUCAUUUGUUUAUUUCCUUAUGGUAUCAUUUAACUGGUUUCUGUAGGUACUGUGUUUCCUGUAAACUGGAAGUUAGGUGAGAGGCUUGAUUGCAACCAGGUUAAACAUUUUGACAAGAAUGUUUCAUCAUAGGUGAAGUGUACUUUGCAUUGAGUCAUGUUGGGAGGCACUUGAUGACAGGUUAUCCCAUUAUGAGCUAUGCUAAAUUUGAUCCCUUGGCUGAGGUGGCAAUAGCCAGAUCUCUCCUUUUUAAAGGAACAAUUUUAUCCUCUGCUAUUAGAAAGGAAUUUAUGGGACAGUAUUUUGGCACCUUGUAAAUACCCUGUUCUGUUACAACAUUUCACCCAGUGGUUUCAGCAGCCUGAUCCUAGAAUCAGUUGUUAUAAUGAGAGUUACAAAAUUGUGGUUUUCUAUCAUUCUGUCUACAUUAAUUAGCUAUCAUUCACAGAGGCCAUCCCUGUUUCUUCUCCUUUCUUUUGUGUAGCAUCGUACUCUCAUGGACUUUUUAUUUAGUGUGUUAACAAUCAGAGUCUUUAUUGGUGCUUAAAUUGUCCCAGAUUGGCUAAUGAGAGCCCCUUCAAGGUAGUUUCUGCUUCUUUUUCAUAUGAUCCUAUCAGUCUUUGUUUCUUGACUUUUUACUUUCCCUGCAUUUCAGACACCAGCCAUUUCUCCAAGAAGCUCUGAUUCCUUUUAGUGGGGAAUGGUAUUUAGAAGCCCAAACCAUUGUUGUUGGGUCGUGUCAUUGCUUCUAGACCUUUUCAACAGAGCUAUAGAGUAUAUUUAAAAAGAACCAUGAGAUCAUGUUCUGAUUCAAAUUUAAUAUUAACAGGGAUGUUUUUCUAAACCCGUUAGCCUUUUGAUUUUACAGCAUUGUAAGGGACCAUAUUGAUGUGUAAUGGCCAUCAAGUUGAAAUACAAAUUGUUAUGGAAAUAGGCAGAUAAAUAACUUCAUUCAUUAUUCCGCAUGUACUCAAACAGGUACUGUUUGAUUAUUUGGGGAAUACAGAACAGAAUCAGAUAUGUACCUGGCUUCCAGAAGCUUGCAGUCUUUAGCAUAAAAAAGUAUAGUAUAGGGUGAAGACUGGUAGGGAUUGUGAGAGGUAGACACACAGUGUUUUACAGUUACUCUUUGAGGCCUGAGUGGAAAUUAGAGGUGAUUGUGGGUGUAUUGGGGCAGGGGAUGGCUUUCAUAGCAAAGAUAAACAAAUGAACGAUGGCUGGCAGGCAAUGGUGUGUAUUGCCUAUAGGGCGGGACAAGUAAGUAGUUCUGUGAAUGUUGGAGUAUAACUUGGGUGGUAGGAUUGAGGGCAGAUAAAUUUGUAAAGAUAGAUUGUAACCAAAUCUUGGACUUUAUCCUUUAGGCCAUACGUUAUAAACCAGUAGCCUGUGGAUUGAGCUCCACAGAUUUACUUGGUCUGCAUAGAUUUAAAAAAUUGAGACAUUCCUUGUCAACACUGAUUUCUGGUUUUGUCUGAAAAUUCGAGCUGGGGAGUGGCUGCUUUUUAGAGUCAGGGCUUGUGCUUUCCUGGUUCCUGUGUCCCCUGUAAGUUUGUCUUUAUCUAUUUGACCCUUACAAACUUCUGAUCUUGUGAUCCUGCAGGAUUGAAGGAGGGGUGUGAGGGUGGUGGAUGUGAUUUGAGAGGAGAGGUGACUGAAAGCUUGAGCAAGACCUGUGCUUUAGAAAGAUCACAGUCGGUUUGGAGGAUGUUUUGGAGGAGCGAGACAAAUACGUAGACUAUUGGAAUAUUCCAGGGAAAUACAAGAUAGUAACAGAUGGUGCAAAGGGGAUAAGAUGAAACAUUUUUAAAUGUAGAAUGGUUAGAUUGUAUUGAUAGAUGAGAGUAUGUGUGUGUAUAUUGACGAGAAUGUAAAUCAAGCUCUAUUAAAACAUGAUGUCCUGUUUUUAAAAAGCUUUGCAUUCAUAAAUUGAUUUCUGGAAGUUAACCACAUGUUUUCAUUAUCUAUUGGUUAAUUUUGGAAGAUAGUAGUAAUAGUUCCAUGCAUUGUUGUCACUGUGUAAAGUUUAGUUUUGUAAUAGGCCAAUAGCAUCUUUCAUCAAAAAAUCUAACUCUGACCCAGCUUUAUCUGAAAGUUGUGGAUGAAGUGAAUAUUUAUGAUCUUAUCAUUUUCCUUAUAAUUAUGGAGCUAAAUAUUCAGACAAAAAUAUUAAUAAUGCUAUAUACUUAUUUUUAAAGAGCUGCCUGCUUGUAAUUCAUUUUCCCCACAGUGUCUCUCAGAAGUUAAUCCAAAGGAUAAUGAGUUGACAUGGAACUGUCUGGUACACUUAAAAUCACAUGGGUAUUAAAACCAUGUAUGUGGUUACGUAUUUUGGGCAUCUUCCCUGUCUGGUUGGGGCAUGACUUGAUCCAGUUCCAUUGUCAAUGCCAUUACUCCAGGUAUUUAAUAGCAUCACCAGCUUAGGCAGUCUGAGAGAGAUAGACAUGCAGAGCAUGUAAGUGACAAGACUGGGAGUGAGAGUGACUCACAGUGACAGAAUCCAUACCAGGAUUCUGUGUCAUAAGCUUUGGCUUCAAGGGGUGAACAAAGAUUGGUUUAAAGGGCAUUUGAAAAUACAUUUUUGUUAUAACUUACAUAUAGUAUAGAACACAAAUCAGCUGAAAAAAAACCCACAAGUCAGCUGAAUGAAUUUUUGCAUAUGUAUAUACAGCACAUUGUGUAAUCACUACCCAAAUCAAGAUAUAGAAUAUUUCCAGAGCCUCUUGAGGGCUUCCUCAUGUUUAUGGCUCACCCAGUCCAGACCUCCCAAAGGUCUGUUCUGGUCUUCUUCACUGUAAGCUAGUCAUGGCUGUUUUUGGAAUCAUACAGUUUAUAGUCUCGUGUCAGUAUACAAAUGGAAUCAUACAGUUUAUAGUCUCGUGUUUUUUUUUCCCCUGCUUGUUACUAUGUGAAAUUCACCCAUUUUGUUGUAACAGGUUCCCCCCGCCCUGCCCCGUGCAUUAUUCCAUAGUAUAUAUAGUCCAUGGUUUGUUUAUUUUAUUGUUGAUGAAUUAGUUGGAUUGUUUCCAAAAUUUGGCUGCUAUUGUGAAUAGCACUCGUAAGGUGGACAUAAGCACUUGGUUCUUUCAGUUAUAAAAAACCUAGAGUGGAACUGCUGGGUCAUAGGAUAGGCAUAUCUUCAUAUGUAGAUACUGCUGAACAGCUUUUCAAGUGCUCGUGCCGAUUUACACCCCCACCUCUAAUGUGGGGAGUUCCAGUCAUCGCUUGGUUUUGCUAGUCCUUUUAAUUUUAGCUAUUCGGAUGAAUGUGUAGUGGUAUCUAUGACUAUAAGCUAUUGAGGUAUAGUUUACAUGCAGUAAAAUGCACUCAUUUUAAGUGUACUCUUUGAGUUUUUAGAGCUAUAUACGCUCAUGACCACUACUGUGAUCAAGGUGUAGAACAUUUCUAUCCCCUUCCCAUCAAAAAAAACCCCAAACUUCUCUCAUUCCCUUUGCAGUUCCCUCACACCUGUCCUUGGCCUCAAGUAGCCUGCUUUCUGUAACCGUAAAUUAGUUGUGCCUGUUUUAGGUGGACGUGUCUAGCAUAUGUAGCAUGGAUAUACUGCAGGUACUCUUGUCUUUAGCUUAUUUUGCCCAGUGUAAUAUUUUUGAGAUUCAUUCCUGUGGAGUUAGUUUUUCAUUCCUUUUCUUUGCUUAGCACUGUUACAUUACACAAGUAUACAACAAUUUUGUUUAUCUGUGCUCCUGCUGAAGAAUAUUUGGGUUGUUUCCAGUGUUUGUUGUGAAUAAAGCUUGUGUGAACAUUUGUGUUCCAAUUUUUGUUGGGACAUUUCUCUUGGGUAUACCUAGGAGUGGAAUUGCUGGGAAGUGUAGAUGUAUGUUUAGCUUUUCCCAAAAUCGUUGUACAUCCUUACGGUUUUCCCUACAAUAUAUGAGAGUUCCAGUUGCUCUACAGCCUUAACAGCACUUGGCAUUGUCAGACGAUUUUAGCCAUUCUGACACAUGUGAAGUAGUAUCUCCUUGUGGUUAUAAUUUACAUUUCUUAAGGACUAAUGAUGUUGAGCAUUUUUACAUGUGCCUGUUGGCCAUUUAGAUAUCCUCUCUAGAGAAGCGCUUUUUCAAAUCCUUUGACCCUUUUAAAAAAUGGAGUUACCUCUUUCUUAUUGAUUUGUGGGAAUUCUUCACAGUAGCCAGGAAACAAAAUUCUUUGUCAGAUACACAUAUUGCAGACAUCUGUUCUGUGGCUUGCUUUUUCAGUGUCUUAAUGUUGUCUUUUGAUGGACAGAAGAAAAGUCUUAAUACUUACAAAAUCUAAUUACUCAAGUUUUUUUUGUUGUUACUGGGUUUUGUGUCCUGUUUAAGAAACUUUGCCUACAGUCUUAAAAAUAUUCUAGCAUCUUCAUGGUUUUACUAUAUUAAAAUAACUUUUUUUUAAUGGUUGAGCUAGGAAUCAAGAUUCAUUUUUUCCCCCAUAUGGUUAUCCAGUUAGCUCAGUGCCAUUA